rnacentral:misc_RNA from 1 species
GAUGAAGAACGUAGCAAAAUGCGAUAAGUAAUGUGAAUUGCAGAAUUCAGUGAAUCAUCGAAUCUUUGAACGCACAUUGCGCCCGCCAGUAUUCUGGCGGGCAUGUCUGUUCGAGCGUCAUUUCAACCCUCAAGCCCUCGGGUUUGGUGUUGGGGAUCGGCGAGCCUUUCUGGCAAGCCGGCCCCGAAAUCUAGUGGCGGUCUCGCUGCAGCCUCCAUUGCGUAGUAGUAAAACCCUCGCAACUGGAACGCGGCGCGGCCAAGCCGUUAAACCCCCAACUUCUGAAUGUUGACCUCGGAUCAGGUAGGAAUACCCGCUGAACUUAAGCAUAUCAAUAAGCGGAGGA